AUUUGUCAACAUACCACAGAGCUGUAUAUAGGUAGGGUUAUAUCCCUGCUGGCAAUCUCCCAUAUGGGAGAUUCCUAAGCUCCCAGGAAGGCUAAAAGUUUCCUUUAAGAACAGGUGGCAGCAGAGGAGAUCAGGGCUGGAUGGAAUCUGCAGGAUCACUGAAUCCAGUGCCCAUUGACUGCAACAUAGACUUCAAUCAAAGGGCCAUUUUUCAUGCCAGGAAAAGACCAAUUGUGAUACUUUUAAUGUAGCAGAGGAAAAAUUAGGAGAAAUUCAGAACAUUUCCAAUUCUUGCAGUCACAGGAUAUCCCAUGGAUGCUUCAAGGUACAUCGUGGUCUGUGUUGUGAAUGAGGGACAUACUCUGAUCCUCCCUGCCAAACCAUCCAGCAGGAUGACACCUUUCUGACCACAGAUCACAAGCUGCCAUAAUGAUCAGUAUGUGAACUGGACAGACUAUGUCUGCUUUAAUAAGUUACAAACUCAAUAAACACAGAUUUUGUAGAACAAAA